rnacentral:rRNA from 1 species
CAGAGGGGGCAAGCGUUGUUCGGAGUUACUGGGCGUAAAGGGCGCGUAGGCGGCCGCCUAAGUCAGACGUGAAAUCCCUCGGCUCAACCGGGGAACUGCGUCUGAUACUGGGUGGCUUGAAUCCGGGAGAGGGAUGCGGAAUUCCAGGUGUAGCGGUGAAAUGCGUAGAUAUCUGGAGGAACACCGGUGGCGAAGGCGGCAUCCUGGACCGGCAUUGACGCUGAGGCGCGAAAGCCAGGGGAGCAAACGGGAUUAGAUACCCCGGUAGUCCUGGCCCUAAACGAUGAGUGCUUGGUGUGGCGGGUAUCGAUCCCUGCCGUGCCGAAGCUAACGCAUUAAGCACUCCGCCUGGGGAGUACGGUCGCAAGGCUG